UACGGAGGGUGCAAGCGUUGUUCGGAUUUACUGGGCGUACAGGGAGCGUAGGCGGUUGGGUAAGCCCUUCGUGAAAUCUCCGGGCCUAACCCGGAAAGUGCGGAGGGGACUGCUCGGCUAGAGGAUGGGAGAGGAGCGCGGAAUUCCCGGUGUAGCGGUGAAAUGCGUAGAGAUCGGGAGGAAGGCCGGUGGCGUAGGCGGCGCUCUGGAACAUUUCUGACGCUGAGGCUCGAAAGCGUGGGGAGCAAAC
rnacentral:rRNA from 1 species